GCAGUCGCCGCGGGAAUACGAAGGGGGCUAGCGUUGCUCGGAGUGACUGGGCGUAAAGGGCGCGUAGGCGGCGGCCAAAGUCAGACGUGAAAUUCCUGGGCUCAACCUGGGGGCUGCGUUUGAUACUUGGUUGCUUGAGUGAGGAAGAGGGUCGUGGAAUUCCCAGUGUAGAGGUGAAAUUCGUAGAGAUCGGAAGGAACAUCAGUGGCGAAGGCGGCCAUCUGGGACAACACUGACGCUGAGGCACGAAAGCGUGGGGAGCAAAUAGGAUUAGAUACCCCAGUAGUCCCUGUCUCUUAUAC
rnacentral:rRNA from 1 species